rnacentral:rRNA from 1 species
GAUGAACGCUGGCGGCGUGCCUAACACAUGCAAGUCGAGCGAUUCUCUUCGGAGAAGAGCGGCGGACGGGUGAGUAACGCGUGGGCAACCUGCCCUGUACACACGGAUAACAUACCGAAAGGUAUGCUAAUACGGGAUAACAUAAGAAAUUCGCAUGUUUUUCUUAUCAAAGCUCCGGCGGUACAGGAUGGACCCGCGUCUGAUUAGCUAAUUGGUGAGGUAACGGCUCACCAAAGCGACGAUCAGUAGCCGACCUGAGAGGGUGAUCGGCCACGUUGGAACUGAGACACGGUCCAAACUCCUACGGGAGGCAGCAGUGGGGAAUAUUGCACAAUGGUCGAAAGCCUGAUGCAGCAACGCCGCGUGAGCGAUGAAGGCCUUCGGGUCGUAAAGCUCUGUCCUCAAGGAAGAUAAUGACGGUACUUGAGGAGGAAGCCCCGGCUAACUACGUGCCAGCCGCCGCGGUAA